GACACACCACACCAUGAAAUGUUAUCUUUUUUCCCCUCAACACAAUAGGUUGCCAGAAAAAAGGAAUGUGAAAUGGAGACUGUUAAUAUGGACAUAUCCUAAGAUACAGCAUACCAUUUGAGAAAGUAAAUACACUACACUUUGGCAUGAAGGAAAAUUAACUCUGCCAUGAAUUAGUGAAAACAGGUUUUCUAUCCUGUUCAUCACCAGAAAUAAUCCCUUAACAAGAAACUCUUCCGUAGAUUGUGAAGAUCAGAUCUGAUUCAGAAAGGCAGUGUGGCAGGUAUGCAGAGAAUCAUAUAAUCUGUCUUGAUGAUACAAUUCCACUGAGUCCUGGCUAUAACACUCUCGAUGUCCACAUCACUGGUUGCAGUCUUACAAGCACGGAAGGUAAGAAAGUAGGUUCUUACAUGUAUUAUAUGCAUUAUAGUAUUUCAAUUCGUUUGAAUUUAGAUAAACCUGAAAAA
rnacentral:lncRNA from 1 species